UUCUGAUUCGUCUAUAUAAAGAGGAUAUGUAGGAACACGUGUAUCAAAAGGCACACAGAACACAAUAUCUUUUCCACUCCCCAAUUCCACCAUGGAGAAAGUUUUUUCUGGAUAUGCACUGUUCUUUGUGUUGUUUCUUACUGGUUCAACAAUAGGAGGAUGCUUCCCUACUGUUGAGGAAGUUCAAAAGAAUUGGAGAGCAUUGAUGGCCCCCAUACUUCAUGCAAACUUAUCUAAAUCGAGUCAUGAAUCAAAUCAAUCUAGCGCAAAAUAUCUUGCAGUACAUGGAUGGAUUCCUCCAGACGACGGUGCUACUGAGUAUUAUGUAUUAGAGGCUACUAUGGAUGUUUAUGGAUUUAAUCUAGAGCACGGGCAACAAACCAGAGGUUUCAUAUAGAUUUAUAAUUCAGAUGAAACAACAGCUGCAAAUGUAAUUCAUGCUGGAUGGAAUGUCGAUCCUGAAUCAUACAACGAUUCACAGACGCACUUCACUACAAGUUGGUUUGUUGAAGAAUCCAAGAAAGGUUGUUUAGAUAUGCGCUGUCCUGGAUUCCAAAGGACAGGUGGCUCGCACCCAUUCGUUCCUGGACAGGUGAUUAACCCUGUUUCCAGCACCUCUAGAAGGAAACAAUACAUUACUGUCAGAGUAUCCAAGGAUCAAAACUCUGGUGACUGGGAAAUCUACUUUGGUUUUGAUGGGAAGGCCAAGAUUAUAGGAUACUAUCCGAGAUCUCUCUUUACAUCCUUGUCAAAUAAGCCGGUGAACAUUGUGUUUGGGGGCUUUGCCUUCUGGAAAGAACAUAAACCGAGCCCUCCGAUGGGCAGUGGGAUUGCUCCACCCAAAAAUGCUGCCUCAUUUAGUAAUCUCAAAUUCUUUGAUGCAGCUGGCAACGCCCAUCCAAUUGACCAUGAUCUAGCACACGUAUCAGAUUGUUACCCUGUCACUGAUGUUAGAGAUGGCGUGUUCUCUUAUGGGGGACCUGGCAAUGUUUGCUAGUUUGUAAUUGAGCUUCAAUCUAUUGUAAUUGAGCUUGAAUGAAGUUAAGCUUGACUCUACUGAUGUGUCACUCUAGUUGAUCGGUAUUGAUCAUAGACCUACUUUUUAAUUGGAAGCAAAUAAGGAAAACUUUCUUUCACACCACCAGUAGUAGAAUAAAAACACCACCUUCAAUUGUAGCGAUAAAUCUAGCUUAAGUACGCUCUCCAUCACUUCUAUAUCUGUUCUCUUUGAGGCCAAUUCCUGUCUGACCUCCUCCUAGAACAUGUCCAGCCAAACGUGCUUUUAUGUACUUGCACUAAA